GAUGAAGAACGUAGUGAAAUGCGAUAAGUAAUGUGAAUUGCAGAAUUCAGUGAAUCAUCGAAUCUUUGAACGCACAUUGCGCCCUCUGGUAUUCCGGGGGGCAUGCCUGUUCGAGCGUCAUUAUAACCACUCAAGCUCUCGCUUGGUAUUGGGGUUCGCGGUUUCGCGGCCCCUAAAAUCAGUGGCGGUGCCUGUCGGCUCUACGCGUAGUAAUACUCCUCGCGAUUGAGUCCGGUAGGUCUACUUGCCAGCAACCCCUAAUUUUUUUUAAGGUUGACCUCGGAUCAGGUAGGGAUACCCGCUGAACUUAAGCAUAUCAAUAAGCGGAGGA
rnacentral:misc_RNA from 1 species